UUUUGUGAAUUAAAUUCAGUGGUUAUUAAUUCGUUAAAAAAGAAUUAUCGCGCAUUAGAAUCAGUGCAUUAUCGAAGAGGAUCUCAAAAUACAGCGAUAUCAACUUAUACCUCGUUUUCAACUAUCUAUGGAUUAUACAACCUCAAUUUCAAUCUAAAUGGUGGACGAGUGUUUUGCAGCCAUCGCAGAACUUCUUAAACGACACGAGAGAGAUCGCAACCGUGAUAUUACUUUGGAAGAUCGAAAUUGGAAUGGAAGAAUUUUGUUCGACGAGAUAGAACGCACAUACUGAUCGCUGAUGAAUAGGAGGAUGUA